ACGAGUUCACACCUUGGCCGACA
rnacentral:siRNA from 1 species